rnacentral:rRNA from 1 species
GAUGAACGCUAGCUACAGGCUUAACACAUGCAAGUCGAGGGGUAACGAGAGGAAAGCUUGCUUUCCUUGUUGACGACCGGCGCACGGGUGAGUAACGCGUAUCCAACCUGCCCCCAACUAGGGAAUAACCUUGCGAAAGUAAGACUAAUACCCUAUAAUUUCCUCAGAUGUCAUCUGACGAGGAAUAAAGAUUUAUCGGUGGUGGAUGGGGAUGCGUCUGAUUAGCUUGUUGGCGGGGUAACGGCCCACCAAGGCAACGAUCAGUAGGGGUUCUGAGAGGAAGGUCCCCCACAUUGGAACUGAGACACGGUCCAAACUCCUACGGGAGGCAGCAGUGAGGAAUAUUGGUCAAUGGGCGGAAGCCUGAACCAGCCAAGUAGCGUGCAGGAUGACGGCCCUAUGGGUUGUAAACUGCUUUUAUACAGGAAUAAAGUUAGCCACGUGUGGAUAUUUGUAGGUACUGUAUGAAUAAGGACCGGCUAAUUCCGUGCCAGCCGCCGCCGUAA